rnacentral:rRNA from 1 species
UCAGUAACGGCGAGUGAAGCGGCAACAGCUCAAAUUUGAAAUCUGGCUCCCUUUGGGGCCCGAGUUGUAAUUUGGAGAGGAUGCUUCGGCUGCGGCCCUGGUCUAAGUUCCUUGGAACAGGACGUCACAGAGGGUGAGAACCCCGUAUGUGGUCAGGUGCCAACGCCAUGUGAAGCUCCUUCGACGAGUCGAGUUGUUUGGGAAUGCAGCUCUAAAUGGGAGGUAUAUUUCUUCUAAAGCUAAAUACCGGCGAGAGACCGAUAGCGCACAAGUAGAGUGAUCGAAAGAUGAAAAGCACUUUGGAAAGAGAGUUAAAAAGUACGUGAAAUUGUUGAAAGGGAAGCGCUUGCGACCAGAUUUGCGCGCGGUUGUUUAGCCGGGCUUCCUGCCCGGUGCACUCUUCCGUGCGCAGGCCAGCAUCGGUUUGGGCGGCCAGAUAAAGGCCGUGGGAAUGUAGCUCCUCUCGGGGAGUGUUAUAGCCCAUGGUGGAAUGUGGCCAGCCUAGACCGAGGUCCGCGCUCCGGCUAGGAUGCUGGCGUAAUGGUCGUAAGCGGCCCGUCUUGAAACACGGACCAAGGAGUCUAACAUCUAUGCGAGUGUUUGGGUGCGAAACCCAUGCGCGUAAUGAAAGUGAACGGAGGUGGGAGCCCUCGCGGGCGCACCAUCGACCGAUCCUGAUGUCUUCGGAUGGAUUUGAGUAUGAGCAUGGCUGUUGGGACCCGAAAGAUAGUGAACUAAGCCUGAAUAGGGUGAAGCCAGAGGAAACUCUGGUGGAGGCUCGCAGCGGUUCUGACGUGCAAAUCGAUCGUCAAAUUUGGGCUUAGGGGCGAAAGACU